rnacentral:lncRNA from 10 species
GUAGCUCAGGAAUCUGCUCCUCCCUCCAGCACCAUGGCAACAGGCCUCUGAGAACUGCUGAUCUGACGCCCUGGACGCCGGAAAUCUGAGAUGAAGGUGCCGGCAGGGCCCUGCCCGCUCUGAAGUCUCUGGGGGAAGCUUCUUUGCCUCUUCCAGCUUCUGGUGGCUCCACGCACUGCUGGGCUCGUGGCUGCCUCCCUCUGGUCUCUGCCCCGGUCUGCACGUGGCCUUCCCUGCGUGUUUCUGUGUCCUUGCUGCUGCUUAGAAGCACAGCAGCCAUUGGAUUAGGACCCACUCUCAUCCAGCAUGGCCUCAUCUUAACUCAUUACGUCUACAAAAUCUCCAUUUCCAAAUAAGGUCCCAUUCUGGGGUCCUGAGUGGACACGGCGGGGACACCAUCAACCCAUCCUAAGGCCUUCUUGGGCAGCCUCAGGGGGAAGCCGGACCAGCCUUAAGUGAAAGUGGAGGGUUCCAAGGAUCCUACAAAGGGGCCCUGACCCAGUCGGUGGGCAGCAGGGGACAGAGUGGACGUGGAACUUGUAGACAGACAGAACGAUGC